AACCAAUGAUUAAAUAAUAUCCAGUUCUGCUACUGAAUUUACACUGAAGACAUCUAUACCAAACUUUAUGAGAA
rfam:Tetranychus urticae London genomic scaffold, scaffold_6